CACAGACAAAGGGUAAUUGCUCAAUUGUCUUUGGAGAGUCUGAUGGGAGAAGCCAGAGCUAGUGGCCAACCACUUUUUUUCAGACAGUGAAAAAAAGGAAACUCUCCAGAGUGAAUGAACAAAGUUUGUAUUAGUGUCUUUUAACUUUCAUUUGACAGUAUAUACAUUUUCUCCUUCUAAACACAAAUGGCCCCAAAGCCAAACUGCUAUAUUAGAUAUUUCAUUUUUUUAUGGCCUGUUAUUCAAAUGAGGGUUUCCACAACUGACAGAAUUUAUGCCAGAUAGCUUUCCAUAAAUGGACAGGAAGUAUUAAGGGAAGAUGAUUGUCAUGGGCCAUAGAGGACAACCAGCUGUGUGUUUCCCUCAAGACAACGGAUGAAGCAAGCCAUCAUAUUUCCAUCUGAUUUUCCUCAAACCUUCCCCUCUGAGCCGGACUCAGAGUCUGACAAAAUUAAUUUGGUACAUGGCUGAGAAUCCUUAAGCUGACCCUAACUGAAGCAUUCUAGAGAAAACUCUACCACUCAAUUUAGUUAAUGAAUAAUCAAGUAACUUAUCCAAUAGAUAUCUUCCACUGAAAAGUAAUUUUCUAAACUCGACAGAUUUUUCUGCGAAGGAUAAUGAAGAGUUUUCAUUUCACGCUUACCUGUACCACAGUUCUGAGACAUCCCUACAGUAUAAAGAUUUAAUACUGUGAUUAUUAAAACACAAAAAAUGUGUCACAGUGAACAAGUGAGAUAAAACUAAUAAUAUGAAAAAAACCAAACUUGUGACUCAAAUCUGAAAUAUUUUUCAAAAUAAAAUUGGUAGAGGAAUUAUAAAAAUAAUAGAA
ensembl:lncRNA